ensembl:tRNA
GCCCGGUUAGCUCAGUCGCGAGUCGCGAGUCGCGGUAGAGCACCAGAUUCUUAAUCUGGUUGUCGCGGGUUCGAGCCCCGCAUUGGGCU